UACGUAGGCAGCAAGCGUUGUUCGGAGUUACUGGGCGUAAAGGGUGCGUAGGCGGCGCAGCAAGUCAGAUGUGAAAUCCGGAGGCUCAACCUCCGAACUGCAUCCGAAACUGCUGUGCUCGAGAUCUGUAGAGGGACUUGGAAUUCUCGGUGUAGCAGUGAAAUGCGUAGAUAUCGAGAAGAACGCUCGUGGCGAAGGCGAAGUCCUGGGCAGAUUCUGACGCUGAGGCACGAAGGCCAGGGGAGCAAACGGG
rnacentral:rRNA from 1 species